UGUGUAUAAGAUUAUCUGAUUAUAGUUAUUAACCCUUAAAAAUCAGUUUUUGGUCAAAAAUUUUCAAUAGAAAAGUUUGGAUUAGAAAAAAAACCAUGAGUUACUUCCCCCUUAUAUUUGAUGGUUAGGAAUUCUGCAGGGCUCUUUUUUCCAAUUAUUUUGCAAGAUACUUAAAAUUAAUCAUUUUGUACAAAUCAAAUUGAA
rnacentral:lncRNA from 1 species